AGGGACUUAGGCUAGGAUUUAGACCAAGGGCCUUCAAAGCCCUCAGCGGGAGUGAAAAUCUCCCAGCCCCUG
rnacentral:tRNA from 1 species